AUUAGAUUAUAUUGGGCCCAAUCCGUGCACGGUACGACCUUAAACGUGGCUUUUUUCAUCGUUCCGAGUGUUCUGGGAUCUGAAGAUGUGGGUCCGGCUCCAAGCAGAAUACCUUCGUCACCGAACUCGGGGCUGGCGCAUGAGUUCGUGUCUAUAUAUUCGUUUAACAGUGUAGUCGUUGCCAUGCUGACGAACACUAGCAACUCCUGCUCUGACAUAGAUCUGGUGCGGGAGCCAGUAGUAAGGAUACGUCAUGAAUGCCUGGUUGUAGUACAUGGUACAGUGUGCACCAGUCAGUACAUGAGUUGGGCUAAUGAGCGAUCCACUACAGAAGGGCUCGACCAGGUAUCCAUUUAUUAUGUGCUCGGACUCGAUGAAGACAUUUGAUGGAAAUUCUUCAAUUAGGACGUCUUCCCCAUUAAUCAUUCUUGCUUGUCGUCGUGCCUCAACAUCUUUUUAAGGGAUCGUAGAAUAUAAAACAGAUGUAGAUCAACGAAAUUGUAUUAAAUUUUGCAAAAAACAUGCUGGUCGGUGUGAUAGGCAACAUACUGAACAAUGGAUCACUAAAGGCCAGUUUUAUGUAUCAUUGGAUGCCUGUGCCAUAAGGCGAGAAUUAUAUUAAAUAAAGCAUAACACGUUACACCUGAAAAUUAUAUUAUUGUGAAUGCGCAACUGCUCGUGGCAUUAUUUUGUCUCUUCGGCGCUCCAGGACGAGGAAAUCGGCGCGUGACUAAUUAGUGGUAACAAUGAUGGGACUCAUCAUGGUGUCAUGGUGAGGAAAAAUCUAAUGCUGAGGAAUAUUUAAGAAAGAAAAGAAGAAGGUGGUGAUGAGGUGACAAGCAAUUGUGGUUCACUUCCUACUUUUGUCGCUUACUGAUGAGGGAAUACAAUUUUGUCGGCGUGAAACAUAAUCAUUUCAGAGAAAUUAGGACGGCAAAAACGAGAUCUGAAUCGAAUUAAUGUCGGUGCGUUUCUAAGAACUACUUAUGUCAAAGUGUAUUGCUAUCUAUGAAAGCACAGCACAUGAAUUACGUUAGCUUUAUACAAAGAGGAUAGACCAAAGUAGAGGCUCAGUUCUGGGGGUUUGAGUGACGCCAGUUUCUACACGUUACCGACAUGAUUUCACCCCCGAGGAGACGGGGCGCCAUGAGUCCUACUGGGGUAUCUGCAUAUCGGCCAAGCCGGUAACGCCUCAGUAGCAGUCCCGCUCAGCGAUGCCAGAUGAGGGGAAAAAUCCCACGCGUGGGAAUUUCGUGCGCAGCUCCCUCGCGCACUCCUCGGGUCCCCACGCCUAAUGCCAGGCUCAGCGCCCAUAUAUGAAAUUGAAGACAUUAAGUUGCCCAAUAAAACUAUCAAAUAAAUAAAUGAAAUAAAUAAAAUUGAUGGCAUUAUUAGUUUUUCAAUUAUCUAGUCAUCAAUAACAUUCGAUAGUAAUAGAAGCACUGUUAAUAAUUCUUUGAAAUUGAGUAAUAAAUUCAUAACAUUUUGUAAUAUUCUCUCGUUUACCAAAAUUGCUUAUUCUGUUGCAAAAUUCAGGUUAAUUGUAAUUUUUGUUUUACAUUCAGGUUAAAAUUUUGGUGGCAACUCGGAAUUUUUAAUUCAUUACCAAAAAUCCUGUUUUUUUUGCGUUGGAUUUUGAGUCAUUUGAAAAAUGAUGCCGAAAUUGGCGAAUCAUUCAAUAACACUCUUAGUUAUAAUGACCUAAAAAUUAUAACUCCAUUGAAUACUCCAUAAUUUAUUUUCAUCUUCAAUCACAAAAUAUUUUCGAUUUCUAUAUGGGAAAGAGAACGAGAAUUUGGACUUUCCCCUCGCUGCCCUCGUCCCCCUUAUCCCCCUCGUUGCCCUCGUGGUCCUCGUUUUAUAGUUUUCGUCCUCGAUGGUAUAGUUUUCUCCGCCUUUGAAAUGUUUCUUUAUGAUUUUUCAGCCAUAAUAUGUAA